CAGCCGCCGCGGUAAUACGUAGGGUGCAAGCGUUAAUCGGAAUUACUGGGCGUAAAGCGUGCGCAGGCGGUUUGUUAAGACAGAUGUGAAAUCCCCGGGCUCAACCUGGGAACUGCAUUUGUGACUGGCAAGCUAGAGUAUGGCAGAGGGGGGUGGAGUUCCGCGUGUAGCAGUGAAAUGCGUAGAUAUGCGGAGGAACACCGAUGGCGAAGGCGGCUUACUGGCUCAUACUGGACGCUGAGGUGCGAAAGCGUGGGGAGCAAACAGGAUUAGAUACCCGGGUAGUCCCUGUCUCUUAUAA
rnacentral:rRNA from 1 species